GAGGAAUUUUGCGCAAUGGGGGAAACCCUGACGCAGCAACGCCGCGUGGGUGAUGAAGGCCUUCGGGUCGUAAAGCCCUGUCGGGUGGGAAGAAUGUCCUGGGGAUGAAAAAGCCUUGGGAGUGACGGUACCACCAGAGGAAGCACCGGCUAACUCCGUGCCAGCAGCCGCGGUAAUACGGAGGGUGCGAGCGUUAUUCGGAAUUACUGGGCGUAAAGCGCGUGUAGGCGGCUUGACAAGUCUGAUGUGAAAGCCCUGGGCUCAACCUGGGAAGUGCAUUGGAAACUGUCAGGCUUGAGUACCGGAGAGGAUGGGGGAAUUCCCGGUGUAGAGGUGAAAUUCGUAGAGAUCGGGAGGAAUACCAGCGGCGAAGGCGCCCAUCUGGACGGUAACUGACGCUGAGACGCGAAAGCGUGGGGAGCAAAC
rnacentral:rRNA from 1 species